rnacentral:rRNA from 1 species
GAUAAACGCUAGCGGCAGGCUUAACACAUGCAAGUCGAGGGGCAGCAUAGAUUGUAGCAAUACAAUUGGUGGCGACCGGCGCACGGGUGCGUAACGCGUAUGCAACCUACCCGUCACAGGGGGAUAAUCCGGAGAAAUCUGGUCUAAUACCCCAUAACAUAUGGACCGGCAUCGGUUCAUGUUGAAAUUUUCGGAGGUGACGGAUGGGCAUGCGUAGCAUUAGCUUGUUGGUGAGGUAACGGCUCACCAAGGCGACGAUGCUUAGGGGGACUGAGAGGUUUUCCCCCCACACUGGUACUGAGACACGGACCAGACUCCUACGGGAGGCAGCAGUGAGGAAUAUUGGUCAAUGGGCGCAAGCCUGAACCAGCCAUGCCGCGUGCAGGACGACGGCUCUAUGAGUUGUAAACUGCUUUUGUACGAGGGUAAAGUGGGUUACGUGUAACCUUUUGAAAGUAUCGUACGAAUAAGGAUCGGCUAACUCCGUGCCAGCAGCCGCCGUAA